UGACGGUACCACUUGAAUAAGCAACGGCUAACUACGUGCCAGCAGCCGCGGUAAUACGUAGGUUGCAAGCGUUGUCCGGAUUUACUGGGUGUAAAGGGCGUGUAGGCGGAGCUGCAAGUCAGAUGUGAAAUCCCGGGGCUCAACCCCGGAACUGCAUUUGAAACUGUAGCCCUUGAGUAUCGGAGAGGCAAGCGGAAUUCCUAGUGUAGCGGUGAAAUGCGUAGAUAUUAGGAGGAACACCAGUGGCGAAGGCGGCUUGCUGGACGACAACUGACGCUGAGGCGCGAAAGCGUGGGGAGCAAACAGGAUUAGAUACCCUG
rnacentral:rRNA from 1 species